GAGGGGGAGAUGCAGGCGAGCACUACUACACGAAGCAUCUACUGGCUCCUUUUUAAUCGACUCAUCCGAGAAUCCAUUCCCAACUGUCCAAUCAGUGACAAGCACUGCCGCCCACCGCCAGCCAAUAGGAGGGCCGGGAGGCUCUAUCGAAUUUGAAUGAGGAGUGCAUCUUUCGGCGCCAUUUUCGAGUGAGCAGCGAUCGCCCGAGCAGGCAGAGCUUGCUGCGUUUUGAGCGAGGAUGCUGCAGGAGGAGAGACGGAAAAGAACCGCUCUUCUUCUUCUUCUUUUUGUUUUUGUAGGGCAGAUCGAUACUGAAUAAAACUGUUUAUGGAGAGAUGAAGGAGCGCCACUCCCACUGAGAGACAGCAAAAUGGACUCCCAAGCCCCCUCCCAUCACCACUGCCGCCACUCUAGUUUCCUGGUAAACUGUCUGUGCCCUCUCCUGCUACUUCAUGCUCACACGUGUUGUAGCCACCUCAUACCCGGCCCUCGCCAAUUUUUCUCUUUCUGCACCAUUCAGCACAGACUUUAAAAGAAAGGAGGGAGAGUGUUUUCAUGGUCUUGUCAGUUGUCCUCAUGUAGCACGACGUUCAGAAUAAGUUGUCACAUUUGCUGUAAUGUAAAUGGCACAGGCAGUAUAUUUUAGAGUUAGGAUUAUUUAGUAGAAAUGAUUGUAUCCAUUUAUAAUGUGUUAAUAUGCUUAACUGCUCUUUUAAAAAAAAAAGAAUAUAUAUAUAUAUAUGCCAUUGUAUUUGUAGUAGUGCCACACACCGUCUCCCUGUGAAGUGCUUCUUGUUAUUUUAUUUUUGACAGAGAGUGAUAUUGCAUGUGUCGUGAUUGAUGUGCUUGCGGUUAUUUUUAUUCAUUCAUUUGGGUGAGGGAGUAAACUUGAGUACACUUGUUGUAGUCAUUUAUGUAUUUUUUUAGGGAGUACCUGUUCUGUGAUUGAUGUGCUUCUGGUUAUUUGGUUAUUUUAUUUAAAUUUUUUCAGAGAGUCCAUUUGUUGUGAUGCGGCAUAUUCAUUUUAUUUAUUGUAUUUUUUCAGAGAGGGCACGUGUGUUUUGACGUGUGUGUGACACAGCUUAUUUUGAGAGGGAGUAAAUGUGUUGUCGGUUUGUGCUCCUGGAUUUUUAAUUUAUUGCUUUCUUUUUAGACGGUGAUUGUGAUGACUUGUGAUUUUUUUUUUUCUAGUUUUUGGAGAUGAAGUGUACUUGUGAAUUAUGUCCUGAUUAUCUCUAUAUACUUCAUUUUUUUAAGGGAAGUUACUUGUUAUGACUUUUGCACUUUUUGGUGUGUGUGUGUGUGUGUGUGUGUGUAGUAGUAGUAGUAGUAGUAUGUUGUGGAUGAUGUGUUUCUGGUUAUUUAUUUAUUUAUAUGUUUGAGGGAACUACACUUGAAUGGUGCUGAUUGUUAUUUGUUCUUUUUUUUUUUUUUUGGAGUAAAUGGGCUGUUGCGGAGGGUGGAUAUCCAUUCCCCUGAAGGUCAGGGGUGUCCAAACUUUUUCCACUAAGGGCCACAUACAGAAAACCUAAAGGAUGCGGGCCGCUUUGAUAUAUCUUUAGCAUUAAAUACAAUACAAUACAUUGUAUUCUUAUCUUUGGGUGGUAGGUGACAAAACAAAUGAGUGUAAUAUUUAACAGUAUGUCUCAUUAUCACUGAAUUAAUUAUGUUUUUUGCAAUAUACCGAGGGCCUGAGCUGCGGGAUGAAAACGAAAUUUGCCACCGGGCCUCACUUUAGUUACCCCUGUUGUAGGUCAUUUAAGGUGAUGAUAUAAGCGCGAGAUGCAUCCUCAUUGUUAUGUUUGCGUUUCUGACAUACUCUACCAACCGUUUCUUUUGUACGUGCUAUUUAUUUAUAGCAUGUAAGAUCUACUCCUUAAAGCUGUCAUUUACCUUUCACCUACUAUUCAAGGUACACCACUUUUAGUUUGUAUUUUGCAGCGUAAAGCAGUAUGUAGCUAUUUGGAUUAGUCAUUCAUUUUGGA